CUUUGAAAAAUGUGAGCGGCUCUCUCUCUCUUCCAAAUCAUGGGUUUUAUCUCUCCUCAAAACGCGAGUGGCUCUCUCUUCAAGGGAUUUUUAACAGGGAUUUCUCUCUCUCCUCAAAACCAGGGAUUUUCUCUCUCCUCCCUGGUUUUCUAGCCUCUUCCUCGUCCCUGUGCCAAGCCUCUCCUCCCUGGUUUUCUCUCUCUCUCCUCCCUGAUUUUCUACCUCUCGCUUAGCCCAUUAAUAGGCGCUUAGCCCCUCUCGCGCAUCUUGCCUCUCCCUCCCUGUGCCAAGCCCCUCUCGCUCUCUCUGCCCUUCCUGCUACUGGCGCACCCUCUCCGCUUCUCGCUCCCCUAAUCGCUCAGAUCAUCCCAUCGGCCCCUUGUCUUCCCUAUCCAAAGGCUCGUCCCUCAGGUUCCCUAUUGAUAGGCGCUGUGCCCCUUGAGCACCAUCUCGCGCAAUGUCUCUGCCCUUCGAGGACCAUCUCACACAGGCCUGAUACACGACAUAUAUUUGUUGGUGUUGGACUUGGAUUUCAUGUAGAAUUUACGUAGUCUGAAGCUUUGUAGUUUAUAUCCAUAAAGGAAGCAAGACUUGACCGGUAAAUCGACCUCUACUUUUAUUCUUGAACUUGAAGCUUCAGUUGGCGGAACUCAUGCAUUUGGAUCACAUGUUUGUAACCUUUGUGUGUUUGAAUUCAAUCUAGAAAUGACCACUAACCUUCAUAAAUUAUUAUUUUUAGCAAUUUAAUUCCAAUUUCAGUAUCUUCGUUGUCAAAGUUUGUUUUGUCUUGAUAUUGAACCAUCCAUUGAAACAUGAUAUUAAAAGUAUAUUAUGUAUGAUUGUUUGAAUUUGAUAUUGAACCAUCUAUUGAAACAUGAUUAAGUACGCAUCAAAUUAUCCCCUACGUAAUACAUAUAAGUAUGUGAAGGGAAAAUUGAGGGUCAGUUUGGAUGUAAUCAAAAUCCUCAUUUUUAUUAAUGAUUGUUUGAAAAUCUAUGCAAAAGGGUUAAAAGUAUAUUAUGAAUGAUUGUUUGAAAAUGUAUUCUUGUAGUUUGCAGUUUCACGUUGGGUAAGUAAAGAAAUUGAGAUGGAUCCCACGAAUUCAGUCGGUGUGACAUCUAGCACAUGCCCAAAUAUAGGCAGCAACAUUGAUGAAAUCCUUGAUGAUGGUUGUGGCUCAUCAAACAAAGGCCAUGAAAUAGAAGAAUCAUGUGUAGAAAUGAUGCUUGGAUCAGAGGAUGAUGCAUAUGAGUUCUUUAAGUCUUAUGCAUUGACCAAAGGUUUUGGUAUUCAUAGGGGGAGUACUCAUAACGAGAAAGGUAAAAGGAUCGAUAGGGCUUAUAUUUGCUUGAAGGAAGGGUUUAAACAAGAAAAACCUAAUAAAAGUAGAAAGGUUUACCCUGAGUUAAGGUGUGGGUGCAAGGUUAGGAUGUGCAUAAGUAGUUAAGAAGACAGCGAGUGGAAAGUGACUAACGUUGUUAAAGAUCAUAAUCACGAUCUAAUUACUCCGAGAAAAGCUUGUUUAAUUCGCACACACCGAUCAUUGUCGAGUGCUAUGAAGUCAUUGAUACAUUCAAUGAGCUCGGUAAUGGUUAAGCUUAGAACAUUCAUGAUAUAUUCAUAGAGCAGGUUGGAGGGAUUGAUAAUGUCCCUUGUAUCCAAAAUGAAAUAGCAAGUGCUAGAAGAAAAAUUAGAGGAGAAGAAGCUAAUUUAAUUUUGCAAUGGCUGUAUAAAAAGAACCAAUCGAACCCAUCAUUUUUCUAUAGAUUGAGAUUAGAUGAUGAUGAUCACAUUCAUAGUAUCUUAUGAGUAGAUUCUACAUCUAAAGUUUCCUAUCAGUGCUUUUUUGACAUGGUUACCUUUAAUACCACAAACAAGACAAAUAUGUUUGGUAUGCCCUUUGCACCUAUACUAGGUGUAAAUCACUAUUUAAGUACAACCUUAUUUGGAUUUGCACUCAUAUUUGACGAGAAUAUAUAAUCAUUUAUAUGGGUAUUUGAAAACUGGUUGGAAGCCAUGGGUGGACGGCAACCAAGUGUUAUUCUUACUGAUCAAGAUCCGACAAUUUCAUAUGCAGUGAGACAAGUUCUUUACCAAAGUAAGUAUCAUUAUCGUAAAUGGCACAUAUUUGCGAAAAUCAAAGAAAAAUGUGUUAUAUCUUACAUAUGUAUCCUUUUUAUUCAGAUACCUUUUGGAGGUUGUGGCUAGCCCAACAAUUGAAGAAUUUGAAUUGGGAUGGAAAUCAAUGAUUGAGAAUUAUAAGUCGGAAGACAAUGAAUGGCUCGGGAGGCUUUAUAGUUGUCGCAUGCAAUGGGUUGAUGCAUACUUGGCUGGCACGUUCAUUGCGGGUAUGACCUCUACUCAAAGGAGUGAAGGGAUGAAUACAUACUUCAAGACGUACUUGACACCCAGAACAAGCUUGCGUACAUUAUUAGAAGUUGUCGCAAAAGUCCAAGACAAAAAGUUAUCACUUGGCAUAUACUGAAGAAUUUUAAGGUGAAAGAUGUGCUUGAAAUCCCUCAAAAACAUAUAAUGAAGUGUUGGACCAAGGAUGUAAAGAAGCUAAUUUUUGUUGAUGACAUUGGGGAACAAAUUCAAGUAACAUCCGAACUACCACGCUCCAUUAGAUAUAAUGAGGCUAUGCAAACAAGUCGAUCCCUUGCCGAGCGUGAUUCACAAAGUGUAGAGGGCCAUAAGUUUGUAAUGUCCAUAAUACAAAAUGGAAUUCAUAAGUUUGAUGAAAGGUUUUUGUGCAAGAGAUGUCUACAGGAUAAUGCCAUGAGUCAUGUGAAUGAAGAUGACAAUUCUGGUAGUUGUAGUAACACAUCAAGUAGAAGUAACCAUUGUCGCAAUGUCUUUGAACCUACACGAGCACAGACAAAGGGACAACCGGCCACUAAAUGAUUGAAAGCUCAUUUUGGGGGAUGGAAGCCGAAGAUACAUAAAAGAAGGAAAUGCGCAGUCUACAAUAACAGUGGACAUGACAAAAGGAGCUGUCCGUCCUUCGUUUGUGAUAGUGCUAAGGAUAAAACACAUCGAAAGCUUCAGACCCAUAAGAAGGCAACAUAUGUGUGUUGAUGGUAAGAAGCAAUUUCUUGGAUGGCAUGUUUGCAAGUUCAUUUUGAAAUAUUUUUAGAUGCGUGUAAGUUCACAUUUGUAAUUUCAUUUGGAACACUAUUGUUACUUAUCAUAAUAUGUUUUAUGUCUCAAAUAGAGAGGACAAAUUCAUAUUGAACAACUUCAAAGGAGGGGUUAUGUUGUUUUUUUUUUUUGAAAAUUUUGUUAUUAAACUUUUGACAUUAUUGAUGUAGGUUGUAGGCCAUUCACUCAAAAAAAUGAUAUAGGUUGUAUGCCAUUGUAAUCUUUUCACUUCUUUUUGGGUUGUAAGGUGUUAUGUAAGGUGAUUGGGUACAAGGAACGAACCAUUAUUUGACAAUGGGAAGGACUACUGAACUUUAUAUAAACAAUUUUGUUAUUGAAUGGACUACCCCAUGUGGCAGGUAGUUGAUGAAUUGUAUGUAAUAUUAUAGUUAUCAAAUUCAAUGUAUUAUCACUA